UACGUAGGCAGCAAACGUUGUUCGGAAUUACUGGGCGUAAAGAGUGUGUAGGCGGCUUUGUAAGUCUGGUGUGAAAUCUCCCGGCUUAACUGGGAGGGUGCGCUAGAAACUGCAAGGCUAGAGUAUCGGAGAGGAAAGCGGAAUUCCUGGUGUAGCGGUGAAAUGCGUAGAUAUCAGGAGGAACACCGGUGGUGUAGACGGCUUUCUGGACGAUCACUGACGCUGAGACACGAAAGCGUGGGGAGCAAACAGG
rnacentral:rRNA from 1 species